rnacentral:lncRNA from 1 species
AUCUGAUCUAAAGGCUCUAAGUUGGAACCAUUGUUUCAUACCUGAGCCAUUUUGAUCUAGAUUAGCAUUCGGGGACCCUCCGUAUGCCCAUUGUGUGCUGUUUGAUAUUCCGUGAUCUAGCAUUGUUUGAUUAUUAGACAAGAAUUCAAAGCAAUCUCAGGAAAUGAUGCAUAGGACAUAUCAAGACAUACUUAGGCGGACCUGUGCCAUAGUGACUUAAAACGAGACAAGAACUAGUUAAUUUAUAUUAUGUACUCUUUGGUUCUUGUUUAAACAAUGUAUACUUUCAUAUUUGAUUAAUAAAACGAAACUUC